rnacentral:rRNA from 1 species
CAGUAGCCACGGUAAUACGAAGGGUGCAAGCGUUACUCGGAAUUACUGGGCGUAAAGCGUGCGUAGGCGGCUUUUUAAGUCGGAUGUGAAAUCCCUGAGCUUAACUUAGGAAUUGCAUUCGAUACUGGGAAGCUAGAGUAUGGGAGAGGAUGGUAGAAUUCCAGGUGUAGCGGUGAAAUGCGUAGAGAUCUGGAGGAAUACCGAUGGCGAAGGCAGCCAUCUGGCCUAAUACUGACGCUGAGGUACGAAAGCAUGGGGAGCAAACAGGAUUAGAGACCCCCGUAGUCCCUGUCUCUUAUAC